CACCACUCAAGCUCCGCUUGGUAUUGGGCCCUCGCCCCCCGUCCGCGGGUGGGCGUGCCUCAAAAACCUCGGCGAAGUCGCACCGGCUUUGGGCGUAGUAGAAUCUUUCAAACGUCUUACGGGCCGGGGCCUCUGCUGCCGUUAAACCCUUUUAUUCUAAGGUUGACCUCGGAUCAGGUAGGGAUACCCGCUGAACUUAA
rnacentral:misc_RNA from 1 species